ACCAGCACCUCGAUUCAACAUGAAGGUAUAUUUGGCCAUAAUGGGGCCCAAUAAGCGAGUGGCUAAAAGCUGGAAAAAAACAGGAAAGACAACCAAGACGAAGUUAAUAAUACAAUUGAUUAAUUCAAGAUGAAAUAAAAAUAGGAAAUCUGGUAAUGAAAGGA